AGCAGUGAGAUUUUAAUUUUUGAUGGCACAGAUUAUGCUAAUACUGUAUUGUAAAGCAUUAUAACGAAUCAAUGUAUUUUUUUCCUCACAAAUAUUAAAAGCAAAAUGUUCUCAUCUGUAAUCAGAAUGUCUUAUUUGCUAUGGAAUGUUUGCUAUAUAUAUAUAUCUUUGUAAAUCAUAUGUGACAUCUCAUAUUGUCACAAAUGUGAAAGAAAACAAAACAAAACUAAACUAAACUAACAUGGCCAUAAUGUAGGCAGGGACAUGAUUCUAUCAAUUGGCUGUUUAUGGGACGGAGGCAGCUCUGAAUGCAGGCUUGCAACACAUUGAAAGGAUGGGGUGUAAGCAGACUUAAUAAUUGGAGAAGUCUGACAUACAUUAAUUUUUUUACAGAGAAGUAUGUUGUUUCACAGUUAAAUUCAAAUGACAUUUUGAUUGAAAACUAUAUGGUUAAAAAAAAA